UAGGAUAGGCCGGAGACUUUGAAGCAGGUACGCCAGUAUUUGUGGAGUCGCUGUUGAAAUACGGCCCUUUGAUUAUUUGAGUUCUAACUCGUAGUUGCGAGGACACUGUUUGGUGGGUAGUUUGACUGGGGUGGUCGCCUCCAAAAUAGUAACGGAGGCUUCUAAAGGUGCCCUCAGGACGAUUGGUAACCGUCCGUAGAGUGUAAUGGCAUAAGGGCGCUUGACUGGGAGACUAACAAGUCGAUCAGGUAGGA
rnacentral:rRNA from 1 species